rnacentral:lncRNA from 1 species
AAGCAAACUUGCAGUUCUCAACAAAGUGUUUUCCACUGAUGUCUGCUAAAAUGGUACUUAGGAGGUAAAGUAUGUAAGAAUAUCCUUCUGAUGCAAUUACAUUUAAUAACAAUAUCAGUGUGGGCCACUUUCUUAGCUACCACCAGUUCUUUAAUGUUUUUGAAAAUUAACUUCCAGUCUUGGCCACAGCAGCCUAAGAGUCCCCAGAAGUAGCCAGUUUUAGGCAUAUUUGAAAGGAAUCUGUCUUUUCUACUCGGGAGGUUGAGGAACUUUCACCUUCUUUCUCAUUCUUCUCAUUUCUAUUAACUUCUUCCUCAAUCUUUCUUUGUGCUUUCAGGAUCUUCUGUUUUAUUGACUGUCUGUAUCUUUGGUCCCAUGUGUUGACUGCUUUCUGCAAUGAUUCAAAACUUUUUAUUUUGGGAAUUCUACCCUAGCCUGGUCCUUGUCCCACUGUGUCAUGUCCAUGUUGAUUGCAGUAGUGGGAAGUCUGUACUCUGGGGCUAAAUUAGGUAAGACACAUAAGACAUUUAGAACAGUGCCUGGAACAUAGGAGACGCUCCUGGAAGGACUGUAGUUGUUUCCAAAAACUAUUGGGUCAUCGUGGAGGAUUGCUAAUUCAUGAGUAGGGCUGACUUCUGUGCAUUUUCUGGGUCCUUUUCUUUUUUCUUUUUCUAUAGAACUUUUCAUUAGGGUCAGCUUUCCCCCCUCAUGAGAUCAGAUUUCCUUGCAAUUAUUUUCUGAUCCCACAAGGCCAGUUCCACUAGUGCCUGCGUUGAAUUCUUCCACAUACUCAUCUGAUGGAAAGGGGUGGGUUUGGGGCUGAGGAGGGUUUAUGGGGAUGUUGAAUUACCAGAUCUAAGCCCACUCUGUCAACCUGAGAUCUGGAAAGCUGACCACUCGUGACAACUAGAGAUCCCUUCUCCUCUCUUCUUUAAUGUUUUUGCUGUUGAAGUUUCAGCACCUGAGAAGGGUUUUAGCACAGAGAGGAUUAAGAACUGGAUAAUCCUGGAUUUGAAAGUAGAAUGGUGAGCCAGCCUGAAAUAAUGCCCCCAUUUCCAUCUUGCCUAAUUCCCUUUCUUGUGUCAACCUUUGCCAGAGAGACCCCAUCCCCAGAACUGAGGUUGGGAAUCUGGACAUUGAGCAUUGAGACCUGUUCUAAUCCUGUCACAACUCGAUUCUGGCUUUUGGAACAUGAAUCCCAUGUCACAAAGGAAGCUGUGACAUAGGCACAGAGCUACAAGAUAGUGUGAUAUCUUUGGUGCCACUCUGAUGGGCAGGUUGUUCCAGCAAAGCAUGACAGUGUGAAGAUGCUGUGAAGUUGGCUCGGACAGCCGGAUGGAAGCCAGGACUUCCAGAAUUCCAACUGGCCCCAGGGGAAGAACUGGGUUUGGGGGAGAUGUUGAUUUGCAUGUGAUUUGCACAAGACUGAAACUCUGCAAGUGACGGUGGCACCAACGAGGUCUUUCUCACCUCGGUAUCGCUGGCACUUAUGUGCUGGGGGCUCAAUACACGUUCCUGGAAGGAACAGAGGGAAGGAGGAGCUUUUCAUUUCUCUGCUAUCUUGACUUUCUCAACACUUCAACGCGUUGAUCUCAUUCGAUUCUUACAAGUGGAGGGAGAAAGGAUGGUUUGUCAUCACCCUUACUUUAUGGAUAAGGAAACCAAGAUAGCAUGGCUUGGCAAUUUAUCCAGAGAAGCAAAAUGACCGACAACAACGCACAGUGAAACGCAGUGUUGGGAAUCGCAGAUGGAAGCCGAGCAUUUCCUCUACCUGUGGGACCUGCACUUUUCCUAAUGCUCUUUCGCAUGUGUUCUCUGCAGGCCCUCAGGCAAAUCCUGUGGAGGAGAAAGGGCAAAGUCGUCCCAGUGUCUCGUUUUUGAGGGAACUUGUGGCUGCCAUGUGGACAGUACCAGGGGAUAUGUCUCAGCAGCCGGCCGGGAACUCUUGGCUGCAGACGGUUGCACAGCUCGUUAUCUUGAUGCCAAAACAAGAACCAAGGACCCUUUUCCACUAGGAGAACUCUCGGCAAGCAGGACUUGAGACGAGCGGAGUCCAGCUCCCCUGGAGUAUGAAAAAUUGCAGACGCAGCCACCCACUCAUAAGUAGCUGGAAGAAGACGCAGUGUUCGAAUAAUCUUUUCGGAUAACUGUGGAUGCACCACGUAGCCUCUGGGAAACUCCACCGUACACUCGUGAGAGAAUGAGAGCCAGAAAGACAAUUCCUGUAGUAUUAAUGUAAAAAUAGAUUUGUAAAAUA